CAGGAAAGCAUAAUGGAUUUCAGUGGGACCGAAACACUGGGAUUGGGAAAAAUUCACAAGGAUAUGCUCACAGUUUGUCCAUACAGAAUAUGUGUGAGGAAAUUUAUUAUGGGCUCUUCUCACCUUGCUUUGUAUUUUUGGAUACGACUUCUACUGUGGUUAAAACGUCAUACACUGUUGCUACAGCAAAAGCUGCCAGCCAAGAGUUUUUUCCAACAUUUUGUGACUGAUUCAGCUGCUGAGAGAAAGACAGGCCUUGUUUGGGGCUUUUUUGAUUUGUUUCCUUAUUUCUUUCUUCUCUGCCUCUUUUUUUUUUUUUUUUUUAAUCGGGACCAAGUGGGUUAGGUGGAUUUUUGAGUGCUAAUGAAAUUGUGAGACUUAUGGCGCUGGCUACAGCCAGCCGUAGUGUGGGCAGACGCUCUGUGAGCUUCCCCACUGUGCUGCUGUGCAAGCAUCCCUGCUGUUUUGUUUGCUAUAGUUUUAAUGUCUGUGAAAAAAUCCUGAUGCAACUAAAUUAUGUUCUGCCCUCUUGUUUGUAUAAAUAAACACCCGACUUAGCCAAUUCAUCUUGCUCUUGCCCAUUUUAGAAGCUGGCCCUGUCACACAAUGCUUAACCCCAGUCCUUGAUAGCUUUGGUGUUAUCAAGGAGUGAAUAUUUGCUUAAAAGACAGCAUAGUUUUGGCUUGAUUUUUUUUUUUUUUCAGGGAUGUCAACUGGCCCAAACUCUUCCUUCAGUUGCUAAAUCUUCAUAUUCUGCAAGUCACGCUGGGUAAAAUAUGCAGACUUUUAUGUAUAUAUAUCUCUCUAUAAAAAUUAUUUG
rnacentral:lncRNA from 7 species